rnacentral:rRNA from 1 species
ACGUAGGGGGCGAGCGUUGUCCGGAUUUAUUGGGCGUAAAGGGCGCGUAGGCGGCCACCGCAAGUCGACUGUGAAAUCUCCGGGCUUAACCCGGAAAGGUCAGCCGAUACUGCGGGGCUAGAGUGCAGAAGGGGCAACUGGAAUUCUCGGUGUAGCGGUGAAAUGCGUAGAUAUCGGGAGGAACACCGGUGGCGAAGGCGGCCUUCUGGACGGAUACUGACGCUGAUACGCGAAAGCGUGGGGAGCAAACAGGA